rnacentral:lncRNA from 1 species
CAGCUCUCCACUGCAGAUCUUGAAAGUUGCUACUGAUAAAAAGAGAAAACAAAGUAGAGCCAUUGAGACUGACGAAAGAAUGUCAGAAUCAGGUGGAAAUUAGAAUGGGCCCGAGGCAAACCGGAUGUAAGAAAACACCUUGGAAAUCCAUCUCGGGCUGAACAGUAAAGCUUGCCUCCCUUAAACAUAUCACCGCUGUGGCACAGGG